rnacentral:lncRNA from 1 species
UUGGGUUCUUUAUGGGUUUUAAGGGUUAAGUGUUAAUAGGGUUUUUCAAGGUUUAGAGUUAUGGGCUAAGGGUAUUUUGUGUUUUUUAGAUUUAGGGUUUAGAGAUUUCUAGAUUUUACAAUUUAGAGCUUAGGUUUUUGUAGGGGUUUUAAAUAGUUUUUAGUGGUUUUAUAGGGUUAGUACGAUUUAGGGUUUCUUAAGGUUUAGGGUUUAGUGUUUCUUAGGGGUUUGAGUUUAGGAUUUGGGUUUUGGAUUCAGGGAUUAGGUCUUAGGGUUUUUUUAGGUUUAAGGAUUUAGGUUAAGGCUUUUGGAUUCAGGGAUUAGGUCUUAGGUUUUUUUUAGGUUUAAGGAUUUAGAUUAAGGCUUUUAUCUUGGUUUUUAGGGCAUAGGGAUUUGAGUUUUUUACGUUAAGGUUUUUUAGGGUUUAAGGCUUAGUUUUUUUUUUCUUUGUAUCUUUUAGGAUUAAGCAUAUACAAUUUUUGGCUUUAUAGGGUUUAGAGCUUAGAGUUUUUUAGGUUGAGGGGUUUUUGGUUUUUAAGGGUGAAGCA